UCAGUCGACUCCUACGGGGAGGCAGCAGUGGGGAAUAUUGCACAAUCGGGGGGAAAACCCUGAUGCAGCCAUGCCGCGUGUGUGAAGAAGGCCUUCGGGUGUAAAGCACUUUCAGUAGGGAGGAAGGUAGUGUAGUUAACACCUGCACUAUUUGACGUUACCUACAGAAGAAGCACCGGCUAACUCCGUGCCAGCAGCCGCGGUAAUACGGAGGGUGCGAGCGUUAAUCGGAAUUACUGGGCGUAAAGCGCAUGCAGGCGGCCUGUUAAGUCAGAUGUGAAAGCCCCGGGCUUAACCUCGGAAUUGCAUUUGAAACUGGCAGGCUAGAGUCUUGUAGAGGGGGGUAGGAAUUUCAGGUGUAGCGGUGAAAUGCGUAGAGAUCUGAAGGAAUACCAGUGGCGAAGGCGGCCCCCUGGACAAAGACUGACGCUCAGAUGCGAAAGCGUGGGGAGCAAACAGGAUUAGAUACCCUGGUAG
rnacentral:rRNA from 1 species